AGUUCUGAGGAGAGAGAGAGAGAGAGAGAGAGUAAUAAUAGCUCCAAAAGAGAGAGAGAGAAGUUAGGGACUUGGGUGAGUUUGUGUUGAUACAUGUAAGGACACAGAAGCGCCACGCAGAGACUCCGAGAUGCGGCGAAAGCAGAAGAGACUGCUGCAGAUCGCGCUGCUGCUGCUGGUGGUCUUUCUGUUCCUGCCGAGCGUCGGCUUGUGGUCCUCGUCUCUGGAGCGAAUGAUUGACAGCUCCGCGGACGCCGGCGCACUCUCGCGCGCACAGCAAUUAAACAGACACAAAGUGCAGAAAGACACCUUUCGGAGAAAGGACUGGCAUGACUAUGAACUGAUGAAGAGCGAAGCGGCACGUUCAGGUGUCGGCGAGCAGGGCAGGCCGUAUCCACUGACCGACUCGGACCGUGUGGACCAGGCCUACAGGGAGAAUGGAUUCAACAUAUUUGUCAGCAAUCGCAUCGCCCUCAACAGAUCCCUGCCUGACAUCAGACACCCGAACUGUAAGACGAAGCUGUACACAGAAGAUCUUCCUAACACCAGCAUCAUCAUCCCCUUCCAUAACGAGGGCUGGUCGUCUCUGCUGCGCACCGUUCACAGUGUCCUCAACCGCUCGCCGCCACAGCUCAUCGCAGAGAUCAUCCUCGUGGAUGACUUCAGUGACAAAGAACAUCUGAAGGCUCCUCUGGAGGAGUACAUGGUGCGGCUGCCGAAGGUUCGAAUCCUGCGCACGAAGCAGCGUGAGGGUCUGAUCCGGACCAGACUGCUGGGCGCCGCAGCGGCGAAGGGUCAGGUCAUCACAUUCCUGGACUCACACUGCGAGGCCAACGUCAACUGGCUGCCGCCGUUACUGGAUCGCAUCGCAGAGAACCGGAAGACGAUCGUGUGUCCGAUGAUCGAUGUGAUCGACCACGAUAACUUCGCCUACGAGACGCAGGCCGGCGAUGCGAUGCGAGGGGCUUUCGACUGGGAGAUGUUCUACAAACGCAUCCCUAUCCCAGCUAAGCUGCAGAAACCAGACCCCAGCGACCCGUUUGAGUCUCCGGUGAUGGCAGGAGGUCUCUUCGCUGUGGACAGGAAGUGGUUCUGGGAGCUGGGAGGAUAUGACACGGGUCUGGAGAUCUGGGGAGGAGAGCAGUACGAGAUCUCCUUCAAGGUCUGGAUGUGUGGUGGCCGUAUGGAGGACAUUCCCUGCUCUCGAGUCGGUCACAUCUAUAGGAAAUACAUGCCCUAUAAAGUGCCGGGCGGAGUGAGUCUCCCCAGGAAUCUGAAGCGCGUGGCCGAGGUGUGGAUGGACGAGUACGCAGAGUUUAUCUACCAGCGGCGGCCGGAGUACCGGCACCUGUCCGCCGGAGACGUGUCCGCACAGAAGGAGCUCAGGAGCCGGCUGAACUGCAGGAGCUUCAAGUGGUUCAUGACAGAGGUGGCCUGGGAUCUGCCCGAUCACUAUCCUCCGGUGGAGCCUCCGGCCGCGGCGUGGGGAGAGCUGCGUAACGUGGGUUCUGGGCUCUGCGUGGAGAGCAAACACUUCUCCUCUGGCUCCCCGAUCCGUCUGGAGAAGUGUCUGAAGAAACGUGGCGAGCCGGCCUGGAGCUACGGUCAGGUCUUCACGUUCGGGUGGAGAGAAGACAUACGGGUGGGAGACCCGCUGCACACUAAGAAGGUCUGCUUCGACGCCGUGUCACACAACAGCCCUGUGACUCUGUACGACUGCCACGGGAUGAAGGGGAACCAGCUGUGGUCCUACAGGAAGGAUAAGAGCCUCUAUCACCCCAUCAGUAACAGCUGUGUUGACUCUGAUGCUGCACAGAAGCGGAUCUUCAUGAACUCCUGUGAUUCCUCGUCUCUCAGCCAGCAGUGGCUCUUCCAGAACACCAACACCACGCUCCUAGACUCCUUCAACAGCCAUCACUAGUGAAGACGGGACCAGACGCCCCUGUGCCUUUACUGAACUGAUCUGACUCUGAACCGCUGAGCCCUGUCCUUCUGUCCACACUCCCUCCAUCAUCUUCAUCUUCAUCAUCUUCAUCAUCAUCACCCCGCUGGCGUCGAUCAGCUGUGGUCUUUCACUCCGACUCUCCAGACUUUGCUGUGUGUCUGAGGAGAAUCUCAAAGAUGUCAGGAGAUGAGUUCAGUCCUGACUCUUGUGAUCCGUCGACGCCUCAUAAACACUGCAGCGUUAUUUAUUCACUUCAUUCCAUCACGACCACGAAACGGCAGUCUUCACUGAGUGCUGUCUUUCUAAAACUAGAUCCAGCUUCUCUGUUGUGUUAACAAAUAUAAACGUCUUUUGUCUUUUUAGAGGACAUAAUAUUUUAAUACAAAGACUUCAGGUGGAUAUGUUGACUGUUGGCUAAAAUCAUGUCAUCAUUCAGAAGCUGUUAUGUGUUGUUCAGUCUGUCUGUGUGGGAUCUGUUCUGAUCCUGCAGCUGAUGAAGUAAACUCGACGCUGUUCUACCGCAGUGUCUGAUCAGUGACCGCUCGCUCCCAAACACAGAUCCGGGAGGAUCUUCAGUUCAACACUGUGUGGAGCUUGAAUCCAGUCGCCGUGCCUUACUAAAGAUCCCGGUGUGAAGAACUGCACACUAGUCUAGUUUUCUACACUUUUUACCUUUGAAGCUUUUUACAGAUCAUCUGCCCAGCACUUUGAAAUGUUUAUCAGAUCCGAAGCACUUUCAGACGUUUCGUUGUCCAGAGGCUAUUUUUGAGUAUUAACAGUUUUGUAAUUUCUGUCGAUUCUGAAGAGCUUCAUGAUAAUACACAUAUAAUUGUAUAACUGCUCUGGUCUUGUUUUGAACAGUUUGUAUUUACACACACACGUUAGCCUUGGGACUGGAUUCAUUCAGUGAACUCAUUUCAAGUUUUAUUUUCAUUAAAAAUCACUUCAGGCGUGUUUUUCUCCAGCGGGACUAUUGAUGACGACAACAAAAGACGGAAGCACUUUCUCCUUCCUUUUAAAAAUUAGUCCAGUUUUAUAUUGGGAUUCUGUAGAGCACCAUCGUGUGUGUGUGUGUGUGUG